AACGAACGCUGGCGGCAUGCCUAACACAUGCAAGUCGAACGAGACCUUCGGGUCUAGUGGCGCACGGGUGCGUAACGCGUGGGAACCUGCCCUUAGGUUCGGAAUAACUCCCCGAAAGGGGUGCUAAUACCAGAUAAUGUCUUCGGACCAAAGAUUUAUCGCCUUUGGAUGGGCCCGCGUUGGAUUAGCUAGUUGGUAGGGUAAAAGCCUACCAAGGCGACGAUCCAUAGCUGGUCUGAGAGGAUGAUCAGCCACACUGGGACUGAGACACGGCCCAGACUCCUACGGGAGGCAGCAGUGGGGAAUAUUGGACAAUGGGCGAAAGCCUGAUCCAGCAAUGCCGCGUGAGUGAUGAAGGCCUUAGGGUUGUAAAGCUCUUUUACCCGGGAUGAUAAUGACAGUAUCGGGAGAAUAAGCUCCGGCUAACUCCGUG
rnacentral:rRNA from 1 species